rnacentral:rRNA from 1 species
AGUGAACGCUGGCGGUAGGCCUAACACAUGCAGGUCGAACGGCAGCACAGUAAGAGCUUGCUCUUACGGGUGGCGAGUGGCGGACGGGUGAGGAAUACAUCGGAAUCUACUUUUUCGUGGGGGAUAACGUAGGGAAACUUACGCUAAUACCGCAUACGACCUACGGGUGAAAGCAGGGGAUCUUCGACCUUGCGCGAUUGAAUGAGCCGAUGUCGGAUUAGCUAGUUGGCGGGGUAAAGGCCCACCAAGGCGACGAUCCGUAGCUGGUCUGAGAGGAUGAUCAGCCACACUGGAACUGAGACACGGUCCAGACUCCUACGGGAGGCAGCAGUGGGGAAUAUUGGACAAUGGGCGCAAGCCUGAUCCAGCCAUACCGCGUGGGUGAAGAAGGCCUUCGGGUUGUAAAGCCCUUUUGUUGGGAAAGAAAAGCAGCAGGUUAAUACCCCGCUGUUCUGACGGUACCCAAAGAAUAAGCACCGGCUAACUUCGUG